rnacentral:rRNA from 1 species
GGCUCAGAACGAACGUUAGCGGCGCGCUUAACACAUGCAAGUCGAGCGAGAAAGGGCUUCGGCCCCGGUACAGCGGCGCACGGGUGAGUAACACGUAGGGAAUCUACCUUCGAGUGGGGGAUAACCUUCCGAAAGGAGGGCUAAUACCGCAUGAGACCACGCCUCCGAGAGGGGGAGAGGCCAAAGCCAGCCACUUCACGAAAGCUGGCGCUUGAAGACGACCCUGCGGCCCAUCAGCUAGUUGGUAGGGUCACGGCCUACCAAGGCGAAGACGGGUAGCUGGUCUGAGAGGAUGAUCAGCCACACUGGAACUGAGACACGGUCCAGACUCCUACGGGAGGCAGCAGUGGGGAAUCUUGCGCAAUGGGCGAAAGCCUGACGCAGCGACGCCGCGUGAGUGAUGAAGGCCUUCGGGUUGUAAAGCUCUGUGGAGGGGGACGAAUAAGUCGGAGUUAACAGCUCCGAUGAUGACGGUACCCCUUUAGCAAGCACCGGCUAACUCUGUGCCAGCAGCCGCGGUAA